AUGAGGUGCCCUGCUCAGCUCCUGGGGCUGGUUAUGCUCUGGAUCCCUGGAUCCAGUGGAGACGUUGUGAUGACACAGACUCCUCUCUCCUUGUCUGUUGCUCCUGGAGAGUCGGUGUCCAUCUCCUGCAGGUCUAGUCAGAGCCUCCUACACAGUAAUGGAUACACCUAUUUGUACUGGUUCCUACAGAAGCCAGGCCAGUCUCCAUGGCGCCUGAUCUACACGGUUUCUAACCGGGGCUCUGGAGUCCCAGACAGGUUCAGUGGCAGUGGGUCAGGGACAGAUUUCACACUCAAAAUCAGCAGAGUAGACUCUGAGGACUUUGGAAUUUAUUACUGUAUGCAAGCUACACAUGUUCCUCCCACAGUGAUACAGCCCUUAACAAAAACUCCCCUGCUUGGUGUGGCCCAGCUGCUCUCAUGUGUGGCUUGUCUGGGGAGCAGCACAGCAGGUUCUCUGGGCCUCUACAGGAGGAAGUUUCUAUGA